rnacentral:rRNA from 1 species
UGGGGAAUAUUGCACAAUGGGGGAAACCCUGAUGCAGCGACGCCGCGUGAGUGAAGAAGUAUUUCGGUAUGUAAAGCUCUAUCAGCAGGGAAGAUAAUGACAGUACCUGACUAAGAAGCCCCGGCUAACUACGUGCCAGCAGCCGCGGUAAUACGUAGGGGGCAAGCGUUAUCCGGAUUUACUGGGUGUAAAGGGAGCGUAGACGGAGUGGCAAGUCUGAAGUGAAAACCCUGGGCUCAACCUGGGGACUGCUUUGGAAACUGUUAAUCUAGAGUGUUGGAGAGGUAAGUGGAAUUCCUGGUGUAGCGGUGAAAUGCGUAGAUAUCAGGAAGAACACCGGAGGCGAAGGCGGCUUACUGGACAAUAACUGACGUUGAGGCUCGAAAGCGUGGGGAUCAAACAGGAUUAGAUACCCUGGUAGUCCACGCUGUAAACGAUGAAUACUAGGUGUCGGGGAACAAAGUUUCUCGGUGCCGUCGCAAACGCAAUAAGUAUUCCACCUGGGGAGUACGUUCGCAAGAAUG